GACGAACGCUGGCGGCGUGCCUAAUACAUGCAAGUAGAACGCUGAAGGAGGAGCUUGCUUCUCUGGAUGAGUUGCGAACGGGUGAGUAACGCGUAGGUAACCUGCCUGGUAGCGGGGGAUAACUAUUGGAAACGAUAGCUAAUACCGCAUAAUAGCAGUUGUUGCAUGACAACUGUUUGAAAGGUGCAAAUGCAUCACUACCAGAUGGACCUGCGUUGUAUUAGCUAGUUGGUGGGGUAAAGGCUCACCAAGGCGACGAUACAUAGCCGACCUGAGAGGGGGAUCGGCCACACUGGGACUGGGACCCGGCCCAGACUCCUACGGGAGGCAGCAGUAGGGAAUCUUCGGCAAUGGGCGGAAGUCUGACCGAGCAACGCCGCGUGAGUGAAGAAGGUUUUCGGAUCGUAAAGCUCUGUUGUAAGAGAAGAACGAGUGUGAGAGUGGAAAGUUCACACUGUGACGGUAUCUUACCAGAAAGGGACGGCUAACUACGUG
rnacentral:rRNA from 1 species